CCUUGAGAGUGGUCAAUGUUCCAGCUGCUGGGCUCUGUCUACUGUAGCUGCUUUAAGAAAAGCAAAGGUCGGAGUCACUUACCUCAGAAAGUUGAGAUCAAUGUUUGCUGUGAAGCUCUUGUGCAGAUUGGCCUGAACCUGCCCAGCCCGGGGAGAGAGACGUGGAGAACUGAUGUUGGCUCCAUGGGAAAGGUGGGCAGACAUUAUCUUCACAUCAGAGGGCAGACACCUACCUCCUAAAGCAGCAGCGGCAGCCGCCUAGCCAAGGGAGACAAAGGGCUGGGCUCCAGGCUGGAGGCUACUCUUGCAUGGGGACCAUUCUGCCUCUGACUCCCCAAAUGACAUGGCUGUUACAUCCACCAUUCUCCACCGGGAGCCCAAGUCCCCUCCCCCGCCACUUCUUCUGUGUAAAAGAACAGACCAG